CAGAUUUCAUUUCACAAGGAUAUCAUGAUCUCCAGAGUCCAGCAUCUGUUUCCUUAAUAGAUUCUUUUCCCCUUAGCACAGCUCAACAAAGGUAGAGUGGAGCAGCAAGUUCAGACACCCAGUGGAUGUGUUCAAGGCAGUCAGUUGAAGCUGCUUCCUUCAGCAGAGGCCUCUUCCACUCCUCUCCAGCCCACUACACACCACUCCACUCACUAUAGGAACAACAGUACCUUAGAUACCGAAGCAGCUUUCUUUUGGCUGUAUGAAAAUACAAGAUUAAGGUGCGGUCCUGUUCUGGCGAUAGAGCACAGUGUAUUUUGCAGCUGAUCUCUGCAGCAAGCUAAUAGGCCUGGAAACAGCUAUUCUUUC
rnacentral:lncRNA from 1 species